UACAGGGGGGGGCAAGCGUUGUUCGGAAUUACUGGGCGUAAAGGGUGCGUAGGCGGCGCGGUAAGUCGGGUGUGAAAUCUCGGAGCUUAACUCCGAAACUGCAUUCGAUACUGCCGUGCUUGAGGACUGGAGAGGAGACUGGAAUUUACGGUGUAGCGGUGAAAUGCGUAGAUAAUCGUAAGGAAGACCAGUGGCGAAGGCGGGUCUCUGGACAGUUCCUGACGCUGAGGCACGAAGGCCAGGGGAGCAAACGGG
rnacentral:rRNA from 1 species